rnacentral:snRNA from 1 species
AUACUUAACCUGGCAGGGGCGAUCCCAUGAUCACAAAGGUGGUUUUCCCAGGGCGAGGCUUAGCUAUUGCACUCCGGAUGUGCCGACCCCUGCUACUCGACAGCAUAGUUUGUGGUAGUGGGUGAGUGCGUUCCCGCUCUCAAAAA